CCUAAUACAUGCAAGACGAACGGUUAAGUUGAGUAGCAAUUACUUAGCCAAGAGUGUCGUACGGGUGACCGUAACACGUAUGACAACCUACCUAUACGAGGAGGAUAGCCGUAAGGGAACCUGGACUUACCCUUCAUAGUAUUAUUGGAUGGCAUCAUUUGAUAAUUAAAACUGAGGUGGUAUAGGAUGGGCAUGCGUCUGAUUAGUUAGUUGGCGGGGUAAUGGCCCACCAAGACGAUGAUCAGUAGGGGUUCUGAGAGGAAGAUCCCCCACACUGGCACUGAGAUACGGGCCAGACUCCUACGGGAGGCAGCAGUAGGGAAUAUUGGUCAAUGGAUGCAAGUCUGAACCAGCCAUGCCGCGUGCAGGAAGAAGGCCUUCUGGGUUGUAAACUGCUUUUGCCAGGGGAUAAAAUUUCCAUGCGCGGAAAACUGAAGGUACCUGGUGAAUAAGCCACGGCUAACUACGUG
rnacentral:rRNA from 1 species